rnacentral:rRNA from 1 species
UACGUAGGGUGCGAGCGUUAAUCGGAAUUACUGGGCGUAAAGCGUGCGCAGGCGGUUAUAUAAGACAGAUGUGAAAUCCCCGGGCUCAACCUGGGACCUGCAUUUGUGACUGUAUAGCUAGAGUACGGUAGAGGGGGAUGGAAUUCCGCGUGUAGCAGUGAAAUGCGUAGAUAUGCGGAGGAACCCCGAUGGCGAAGGCAAUCCCCUGGACCUGUACUGGCGCUCAUGCACGAAAGCGUGGGGAGCAAACAGG